UGCUGUGUCCAUUUUGAAGCUGCUCUCUCGCCUUCUUCAUGAAACUUCAGAGCUGCCAUCUUGUCCAUUGUAGCUCUGUCUCGCUGUCGUCAUGUCUCAUGGUUUGUUGUGCUCUGCAGGUCAGAUAGAACUCAACAGAAGGACCUGAACGAUGGCCGAGGGGGAAGUCAACUAUGCCUCAGUUAUAUUCAAAACUAACAAGCUUUUCCCACCUGAAGCUAAAAAGGAGGAGGAAACUGUGUACAAUGAAGUCAAGGUGCGAAGGGAAACAACUGAAAAGACUGCUGACACAAAUAGUAAGUUGUAAGAAAAAAA